rnacentral:tRNA from 1 species
GGAAAGAUAGCUCAGCAGUUAAAAAGCACUGGUUGUUCUUCCAGGGGACCUGGGUUCAAUUCCCAGUAUCCUCA